rnacentral:misc_RNA from 1 species
AUGGAAGUAACCUUUUUAUUAUCUUUCAGUUUCUAGGACCUAAAUUUGAGAUCAGGCGAUGAAGGAUUUCUUGUUUCUCAUUUCAUUACCAAUUUAGGCCUAAGAACGCUGGCCUAAAUCCUCUAUUAAUCUAAAAAAUACAAAAAUUAUAAAGUAAAAAUACAAAAACACAAAAAUAUAAAUUGUACUAUUUCCUCACAUAUGUACCCAAGCAUCAUCCGCAAUUG